UAACGCGUGAGUAACCUGCCCUGGAGUGGGGGACAACAGUUGGAAACGACUGCUAAUACCGCAUAAGCCCACGGUACCGCAUGGUACUGAGGGAAAAGGAUUUAUUCGCUCUAGGAUGGACUCGCGUCCAAUUAGCUAGUUGGUGAGGUAACGGCCCACCAAGGCGACGAUUGGUAGCCGGACUGAGAGGUUGAACGGCCACAUUGGGACUGAGACACGGCCCAGACUCCUACGGGAGGCAGCAGUGGGGGAUAUUGCACAAUGGGGGAAACCCUGAUGCAGCGACGCCGCGUGGAGGAAGAAGGUUUUCGGAUUGUAAACUCCUGUCGUUAGGGACGAUAAUGACGGUACCUAACAAGAAAGCGCCGGCUAACUACGUGCCAGCAGCCGCGGUAAAACGUAGGGUGCAAGCGUUGUCCGGAAUUACUGGGUGUAAAGGGAGCGCAGGCGGACCGGCAAGUUGGAAGUGAAAUCCAUGGGCUCAACCCGUGAAUUGCUUUCAAAACUGCUGGCCUUGAGUAG
rnacentral:rRNA from 1 species